rnacentral:ncRNA from 1 species
CUAGUUGAUCCUGCUAGUAGUCAUUAGCUUGUCUCAAAGAUUAAGCCACGCAUGUCGAAGUACAUGCCACAUUAAAGUGAAACCGUGAAUGGCUCAUAAAAAUCAGUUAUGCUUCCUUGGAUCGUACCUUACUACUUGGAUAACUGUGGCAAUCCUAAAAUUGAUACAUGCAGCAGAACGCCGAACCCCUGAGAAUGAGCUCUUUUAUUGUUUUAUUAGACCAAAACCAGUCGAACCUCUUGUCCGUAUUAUGUGAUGAUUCUGUAUCACUUUGGUCUGACAGCACGAGCUCGUUCCAGCUAUGUAUCUUUCAAGUGUGUGCCUUAUCAAUUGUUGAUGGUAGGUUAUGAGCCUACCAUGUUUUAACCGGUGACGAAGAAUCAGAGUUCGAUUCCGGAGAGAAGCCAGAGAAACGGCUGCUACAUCCAGGGAAGACAGCAGACGCGGAUAUUACCUACUCCCAAAACGGGAAGGUACUGGCGAAAAAUAGUGAGGAAACAAUCUACAAACCCUGAAGCUUAAACU